ACCGUGCCAGCAGGGUUAGCCGAUUAUAGGCGAUUAUAGGCAGCACCACUGUCCGCUCUGGAAUGAAACUUCCACAGGUAGCCUUCUAGAACUAGCUGCACUGGGGGUUCUCAACUCGGACCAUGGGAUAAAAGUAGAAGACACAGUAACAGCUUUUUACUGCCGCUCCCAAAAACUGAUGAUUGCUAUCAUAAGAAGAGCAGUCUAGGGAGAAAAAAAAUUAAGAAAUUCGGAAACACAUUUUCACACAAGUGUGACUCUGAUAGAGACCCAAGCUACAUGAGACACUUUGUAAACAACGAGUAAGUGCAACUUGACAGAGUGUUCUCCUACCUGCGCUUUCAUGCUCAGGAACUAAACCAUCCACUUCCACAACAGGUCGUCAUCCGCUAUUACCACAGAGCUGUUACAUAAACAGCAACUCCAGAAACCAUCCAUUCACAAGGCCCCAUGACAGCAAGGUAACUAACAACUAUGUCUAUGCAGAUAAGUCACAGAUGAACAAUGGUGGCUUCCCUGGAGAGUCACCCAGUUAGAAGGCCACUGGAGUCAAGGCUGAGGCGUGACCCAUUGGUCCUGACAACUUGAUUUUUAGAACUCAUCGAUCCAACUGUCAUGGAGACCGACAGGCACAAGUGAGAAUCACAAACUGUUGACCAGUGUCUGUGAGGACUCGCUCACUACCUUCUAUCAAGGGCAAGAUGACUUCCCACGCCCAUUCAUUCCUCCCCACCCUGAAAGGAAACAGCUGCAGGUAUGACCUCACAUUAUCUGGUGUGGUGGCAACAGAAAGGAAGAAAACUUUCCUGAACAAGUCACCCCUCAUGAGUCACACACUGAAGCAGAGCUUCAUGACAGUCCUGGGCCACCUGGAUCAGCAGUCAGGGCCACCCAGGGCAACUAGCACCUUGCCUCAGGUGGGUCUCUGUUACUCCCUGUCCGCAGUCUACCACCUCACGAAUGGUGCGCCCUGUACAGCCUGCCUGCUAACCCCUCUGCCUCUCUUUCCUGCCAGCAAAAUAAGAAGGCAAGUUCAGCAUCCUAGAAACUGUAGGGAGCUCAGUGUGACCACAGGGCUCACGCGGGAAGACACACCUGACAUGCAAUUCCCAGUCAGUGAUGGUGUCUCCCUCUGCUCUGUCCCGCUGUUCCCCCUCUCCUUCAAAUAUUGCUCCUUUACUAUUUCCUGCUGGACAGAAACUCCGCCCUGCCGCUGCCUCCUCAUUCUUGCACCACUACACCUGAAGUCAUCAUGCGAUGACAGAGGUGAGUCCAGCUGGAAACGUAGGUCACAACCCCGUCCUGCCUUUGUUUCCUUCUUCUCACCUUAAGCCCUCAAGACUGGACUGGCAGACCAACCCCUGCGCUCGAUGUUGACUACAACGGAAACAUGCUUGGAAGUGCACAGAAUCAUUGCAAGGGGAGAAAGGACAAGCAGAGGCUGGCAUCCCUCUUCACUACUUCACAUGCUGAGGGAAGGCGGCAUGCGGACGUAAAGAGGAAGGGGAAAGCAGAUGUCUCUCAUGGACAGAGGUCUGAGAUGAAGGCUCUAGUGAAGCAGGCUCCUGAACUGAGAAGGAAGAUGAUUCCCGUUCCUUAUUGUCCCCAGGAAAGGUCAGAGGUCAAAUAAGAGAAAGAGUGCAGUUUCCGAAACAGCCCCUCUUGUAGCAGCCACCACACUGCACUGGAAAGGACACUGAACUCAUUCACCAAGCUGGUUGCUCUGGGGAGAUAAGAAAGUGAAGGCUCAUGACUGUUAAAUGAGAUGUCCAGGGCCCCGGGGCUGACCUGUGGUGACAGCUGCCUAUCUCCCCACUGAAACGCUCUUUGGAAAUCACCGUCCAUCAUGCGCCAUGUGCCAUGAGACAACAGUAGGAAGGACACUCUGCAGAAGACACAACCACACUGGGCCUGGGCCUCCCAAGUGGAAGGGGGCUGGCUACAGUCUCCCGAUCAUCAGUGCAGUGUUCAAACACUCUCUACAAAAAAUGCUCCAAACUGAGGUCCUGCAACAGGCCCAUUCUGCCAGGUGAGCACAACUUCACAGAUCAGCUAUUCCAAUGCUGUCUUCUUGAGGAGGCUUCCUGCAGCCACAGAUGUCAACCCUCUGGUCCCUCCCUCCUGCGCCCAUCCCUCCUCAGCUGGCUAACUAUGUAACUUCAUACACAGGUACUCUGCUUACUGGCCUCGCUUCUUGCUUCUGACCCUACACACUAAGUCCACUGAGAUACAGAUAUAUUUGCUCUGGCACCCUGGUGCUAGGACAGUAACAAGCACAGAAGUCAAGUAAAUGUUUAUUGAAGGAA